GGUUGUGUAGUGUAGUGGUUAUCACUCCGGAUUUUGAUUCCGGCGACCUGGGUUCGAGCCCCAGCACGACCU
rnacentral:tRNA from 1 species